AUGGAAGUCGAAGCUUACACACUUUCAGUAGUCAGGAUUUGGCUGGAAUGUGGUCGUGUUCAGCAGGCCGUAGUUCCCACCGAUGAAGCUCUGCCUACAGUAGCUCUUGGUGUCGAAUUUCGCCGACAUGCCGAGCUGAUCCAGGAACCUGAAAACCACAAACCCCAUAAUGACAAGGUGAUGCCCACUGUUGUAAGCCCCUCCAGACUCCCCAACCCAGGCGACGGCCGACGUCCCGGCGGCUUUCAGCAGCCCCUGAAGAUCCCUGAACGGGCUCGCCAUGCCGUCGAGCGCCUUCGGGUCGAGGAUCCUGUCAAUCAGAUGUGUGUCCACCCCUGUAAACGUCCAGUGUUUCACAAACGAGUUCAGGUUGUAGAUGUGGUGGGUCACCACGUCGAGCAUGUCUGGCUUGGUCUUGGCGAUGAGCUCGCCGUACCAGGCCGGGUCGAAGAAGCCGCCGGGCGCGAGCACCAGCGGCUUCGCCGGGCUGCCCCGGUACACGCUGUCCACCGUCGUCUUGAGGGCGAUCGCGUCCUUGACGUACUGGGCCGCCCCGAUCUUCGUCCCGAUGCCGGAGCCGCUGAGCUCAUUCCCUGCAAGGAGGAGAGAGCACAUUUCAGGAUGAAACCCCAUCUCCAUGUGGAGUUUCUCGCUUCAGUUACCAAGGGAAAUGGAGGACGUACCGAGCUCCCAUCCAUGGAUUUUGUACCCCUUGCCGGCGGUGUACCGGAUGAAGGACGCCGCGUUCGUGGUGUCCCAGUUGCCUCCCAUGGCCCCGCCCUGCAGUGGCACCCGGCCGUUGAGGGCGUUGAGCCCGAACACGAUCUUGGCCCUGCGGGUUCAGAGUGGAGCGGACCAUGUGAUGUGAUGAUCUUCUGA
rnacentral:rRNA from 1 species